rnacentral:rRNA from 1 species
AUUGAACGCUGGCGGCAUGCUUUACACAUGCAAGUCGAGCGGCAGCGCGGGGGCAACCCUGGCGGCGAGCGGCGAACGGGUGAGUAAUACAUCGGAACGUACCCAGGAGUGGGGGAUAGCCCGGCGAAAGCCGGAUUAAUACCGCAUACGAUCCUUAGGAUGAAAGUGGGGGACCGCAAGGCCUCACGCUUUUGGAGCGGCCGAUGUCCGAUUAGCUAGUUGGUGGGGUAAAGGCCUACCAAGGCGACGAUCGGUAGCUGGUCUGAGAGGAUGAUCAGCCACACUGGGACUGAGACACGGCCCAGACUCCUACGGGAGGCAGCAGUGGGGAAUUUUGGACAAGUGGGGGAACCCUGAUCCAGCCAUGCCGCGUGCGGGAAGAAGGCCU